GUAGUCCACGCCCUAAACGAUGAGUGCUAGACGUUGGAGGAUUACUUCAGUGUCGCAGCUAACGCGUUAAGCACUCCGCCUGAGGAUUACGGUCGCAAGACUAAAACUUAAAGGAAUUGACGGGGGCCCGCACAAGCGGUGGAGCAUGUGGUUUAAUUCGAUGCUACGCGAAAAACCUUACCAGCUCUUGACAUUGGGAUUAUGGACAUCAGAGAUGAAGUCCUUCGGUUCGGCCGGGUCCUAAACAGGUGCUGCAUGGCUGUCGUCAGCUCGUGUCGUGAGAUGUUGGGUUAAGUCCCGCAACGAGCGCAACCCUUGUCCCUAGUUGCUAACAGGUUAUGCUGAGAACUUUAGGGAGACCGCCGGUGAUAAACCGGAGGAAGGGGAGGAUGACGUCAAGUCCUCAUGGCCCUUAUGGGCUGGGCUACACACGUGCUACAAUGGUGGUUACAGAGAGAUGCAAUGGGGCGACCCGGAGCCAAACUUUAAAGACCAUCUCAGUUCGGAUUGUUCUCUGCAACUCGAGAACAUGAAGUUGGAAUCGCUAGUAAUCGUGGAUCAGAAUGCCACGGUGAAUACGUUCACGGGCCUUGUACACACCGCCCGUCAAGCCAUGGGAGUUGGUUCUACCCCUGAAACCAGUGCGCUAACC
rnacentral:rRNA from 1 species